rnacentral:lncRNA from 1 species
AAGGCCUGGUUCAGCACAAAGGUGUCAUGUUUGGAAUGUAGUCUGCCUGGAGUCAUUUCCAGGAACCCAUGGUCGCAGCAUUUGGAGUGUCCUCUGGUCCAGGGAUCAUAUCCCCAUUUUUCCUGAGUUCCUUGCUCUGUUUCUUCUGGCUGUUAACCUUCCUCUUCACCCUGACCCAGUUCACCUUGCUCUGCCCUUCUCUCCUACAGAGGCCUGUUCUCACAGAGACACCUAGGCCUCCAGCAUUUUAUCCCCAACUCCUGUGUGACAAGUGAGGGUCAUGACCUUUGCUGUCUUCCCUCUGGCCAUGGCAGCCCCACACCCUGGACCAUGGAAGGGAUGGUCCCGCACUGGUGAGCCUAUCACACUGGCAUACCUAUGGGAAAUAAGCACCCAUUCUCCUUCAAAGAAGAGUUGGAGGGAUGAAGAAAGAAGUAGGAAACCUGGAGUGGCGGUACAGGCCAGCAAUCCCAACACUGAGGAGACUGAGUUACACAUACAUAUUGUACCCACUUGCCAUGGCACAUCUGGGGUUCAGAGGACAACUGGCAGCACAUCUGGAGUUCAGAGGAUUACUGGUGGGAGUCAGUCCUCUACUUCCACAUUGUGGGUUCCAAGGAUCCAACUGAGGUCAUCAGGAGCGGCAGCAAGCACCUUCCCCUGCUGGUUCUUCAUUGCAAAACUUUCCCAUAGAUUCAGUCCUUUCGUUUACCCAGCAGUCAGCUUCGAGGUGUGGCCCAUUUUCCUAUAUGGCGACAAGAGUUAUGGAAGUCUGUUUAGGUUUGCCUGCUGUGCUCAGCCUCAGAGGCCACUGCCACGUGAGGCCCACCCCAGCCUAUGCACACAGACUCAAGUCCCUCUGCUUUGGCCUUGCAAAAGCAAAUCUCUCUCUCUCUCUCUCUCUCUUUCU